ACUUUUUAGGGAUUGUUUUGCGUUGUAAGUGAUUUUAAGAGACAAAUAACUGAUUAAUAUGGCACGAUUAGCAUUCGUAUACAGCAUAGACUUAUAAUACAGUAUAUUGCGUAAUUCUCAUAAAAUACAAUUAAAACAAAGAAGAAAUGAGCGUCGCAUUAUGCGUUAUACGGACAAAGCUUUUUCCAUGAAUGAAGACGAAUUUAAGGCAAAUUAUCGAGUAAGCAAGAGUUUGAGGAAAUAUUUGAAAACAUUAAGCCUUUUCUGCCUACUCCUAAGAGAAGAAGUGAUAUUAUAUCGCCAAAAUAUAAGGUUUUAGUGGCAUUGUCCUUUUACGCAACUGGGAGUUACCAAAAACUAGUUGGGGGCACAUAUGGGACACUAGAGAUGUAACAGCAGCUCUUAACCACCCAGUAGUACUAAGUAAAUGGAUCAAGUUUCCUCAAAUUCGCCAGGAGAGGGAUAUUAUUAAAAGGAGGUUUUUUGAAAAAUUCCAUAUACCAUCUGUGAUUGGUUGUAUUGAUGGCUCCCAUGUAGCUAUAAUCAGACCUACAGAAAAGAGAAGAGAGAU